UACAGAGGGUGCGAGCGUUAAUCGGAAUUACUGGGCGUAAAGCGCGCGUAGGUGGUUUUGUAAGUCGGAUGUGAAAUCCCCAAGCUUAACUUGGGAACUGCAUUCGAGACUGCAUUACUGGAGUAUGGGAGAGGGCAGUGGAAUUCCUGGUGUAGCGGUGAAAUGCGCAGAUAUCAGGAAGAACACCCGUGGCUAAGGCGGCUCUCUAGUACGGUACUGACGCUGAGACGCGAAAGCGUGGGGAGCGAACAGG
rnacentral:rRNA from 1 species